GAUGAAGAACGUAGCGAAAUGCGAUAAGUAAUGUGAAUUGCAGAAUUCAGUGAAUCAUCGAAUCUUUGAACGCACAUUGCACCUCUCGGUAUUCCGGGAGGUAUGCCUGUUCGAGCGUCAUUUGUACCCUCAAGCUCUGCUUGGUGUUGGGUGUUUGUUCCGCCUCUGUGUGUGAACUCGCCUCAAAACAAUUGGCAGCCGGCGUACUUGUUUCGGAGCGCAGCACAUUUUGCGAUCCAGAUCAACGUACAGCGGCAUCCAAGAAGCCUUAUUUAACGCUCUUGACCUCGGAUCAGGUAGGGAUACCCGCUGAACUUAAGCAUAUCAAUAACGGAGGA
rnacentral:misc_RNA from 1 species